rnacentral:rRNA from 1 species
GGUCGAUUAUGGUCAGAUUGAACGCUGGCGGGAUGCUUUACACAUGCAAGUCGAACGGCAGCACGGACUUCGGUCUGGUGGCGAGUGGCGAACGGGUGAGUAAUGUAUCGAACGCUCUUAGUAGCGGGGGAUAACUACGCGAAAGCGUAGCUAAUACCGCAUACGCCCUGGGGAAAGCGGGGGACCUUCGGGCCUCGCACUAUUAGAGCGGCCACUGAUUUAAUAGUUGGUAGUAACGGCCUUACCAGUAGCGACGAUCCGGCUGGUUUGAGAGGACGACCAGCCACACUGGGACUGAGACACGGCCCAGACUCCUACGGGAGGCAGCAGUGGGGAAUUUUGGACAAUGGGGAAACCCUGAUCCAGCCAUCCGCGUGCGAUGAAGGCGCCUUCUGGCUAGGGAGCACUUUUGGCAGGAAAGAAACGGCACGGAUGACACUCGUGCAACUGACGGUACCAGAGAAUAGCACCGGCUAACUACGUGCCGGCAGCCGUGGUAAUACAGGGUAAGCGUUAAUCGGAAUUACUGGGCGUAAAAGCGUGCGCAGGCGGUUCGGAAAGCAAAGAUGGAAACUCUGGCAGAGCUUAACUUUGAACUGCAUUUAAAACUACCGAGCUAGAGUGUGUCAGAGGGGAGUGGAAUUCCGCGUGUAGCAGUGAAAUGCGUAGAUAUGCGGAGUGGGUUCACCGAUGGCGAAGGCAGCCUCCUGGGAUAACACUGACGCUCAUGCACGAAAGCGUGGGGAGCAAACAGGAUUAGAUACCCCUGGUAGUCCACGCCCUAAACGAUGUCAACUAGCUGUUGGGGCCUUCGGGCUCGGUAGCGCAGCGCUAAUCGCGGCAGUUGACCGCUCGGGGUGCUGUCGCAAGAUUAAAACUCAAAGGAAUUGACGGGGACCCGCACAAGCGGUGGAUGAUGUGGAUUAAUUCGAUGCAACGCGAAAAACUCCACUCUACCCUUGACAUGUCUGGAAUCCCGAAGAGAUUUGGGAGUAUGCUCGCAAGAGAACCGGAACACAGGUGCUGCAUGGCUGUCGUCAGCUCGUGUCGUGAUGUUAUUAAGUCCGCAACGAGCGUUAACCUUGUCAUUAGUUGCUACGAAAGGGCACUCUAAUGAGACUGCCGGUGACAAACCGAGGAAGGUGGGGAUGACGUCAAGUCCUCAUGGCCCUGCGGGUAGGGCUUCACACGUCAUACAAUGGUCGGGACAGAGGGUCGCCAACCCGCGAGGGGGGAGCCAAUCCCAGAAACCCGAUCGUAGCCCGGAUCGCAGUCUGCAACUCGACUGCGUGAAGUUUGAACUGCUAGUAAUCGCGGAUCAGCAUGUCGCGGUGAAUACGUUCCGGGUCUUGGCACCGCCCGUCACACCAUGGGAGUGGGUUUUACCAGAAGUAGUUAGCCUAACCGUAAGGAGAGGGCGAUUACCACGGUAGGAUUCAUGACUGGGGUGAAGUCGUA